ensembl:lncRNA
GGGAAAUACCAGAAUUUGGCAGAGUUGAGAUGUUUGAGUAGAUAGGGACCACCAAGUGAUCUGGGAAAUGAAAUCUCUUGAGAUCCUGCUCUUGCUGUUCUGCUUGUUUUGUACGUAACACUUAUAAUGUAAUUCCCAGAGCACUGUGAUUUCUGUGACUUUCUUCCCACUUCUGGAGAAGGGCUAGAGAAGACCCCACAAGACAAAAACACAGAAGUGCUACAUUCAACUUUUAACAGGGAUUUUCUUUUCCUUUUUAUUUCUAUUCACAGAAGCAAAGCGAAACAAAACAAAUGUUUAAACAAGGCUGCCCUCUUCAUUGUUCCCUGCUCUCCCUCAGGCAAAUGCUGCAUGGGUGGGAAAAACGAAGCUUUGCAUUAUGACAGUGGUUAUUUUCUCACCUCCAGCCUACCUCCACCCAUAUUCAGGGUUUUAGCAGUCUGAGGCGAUCAAUCAGGUGGAAUGAUCCUGUCAACUGCUUUACCCUGGAAAUCAGGUGGCAAGGAGAGACAGGUAUCAUGGAGGAAACUUCAGAGAUCAUGCAGAUUUCAGUAGUAGAUUUCUUAUUCUGUUUGGCAGAAAUGUCUGCUUUGCAGAGUUGAUUCAAAGUGCUAUUGAAUUCUCCCUCAACCCCUGCCAGAACAUGAGAGCCACAUUGGCCGUGCUGGAGAAAGGCAUAAAAUGCCUUCUAUUCUAAGUACAUAUGGACCCCUGGCAACUGCAGAGGUAAUCAUUAACUCUGACUUCCCUUUGUUCUCCUGCCAGCUUGCUAAGUGCGUAACUGUGCUUGUGGCAGUCAGGGGGUUCUGACCCACUCAUACUAAAAGAUGUAGUGGAGAACGAAAGAGGUCACGGACUAAGCCUCUCCAUGAAAUGGAGAGCAACACUUGUGCUGCAGCAACCUUGUAAUGUGAAAGAUCAUCCUGAGGGCCUCCAGUUUGUUCCUGUACUGAUUGCUGUCCUCGGUGCUGCAGUUUUUUGAGGUGAUCCCUUCCUUGUCGUGUGAAGCUUUCCCAGCCUGAUUUUAAGUCUGGUCAGGUUCCUCCUGCUUCCUCCCAUUCUGGUCCAACCAGGAGAUGUGGGAGCAAUUGCAGUAGGUUCCUCAGAAGCUUCACAGACGGAAUGAGAUCAUUUGAUGCAUAAUAAAGACUCAUCCUGGAAGAAAGCUCAGCUAAUUUCUCAAAAACACAAGGCCCAUCAGCUGCAUUAAUAAUGAAAGGAGAGGAGAAAAUAGCAACUAAGACGAUCUUUGUCUUCCUGAAGACAUUGAUUGCAAUUCUGCUACAGCUGAUUCCUGACCUUAUAAAAGCUUUUCCUCUGCUGAGGACUGAAAUCUGAAGAUUGGAG